GGGCGCCGCGCGCAGGCGCCAGAGCACGGGGCCGGUGCCGCCGCCGCGGGGAGGAUGAACUGGCUGUUCCCCCUCACCAAGGGCGGCGGCUCCGCCGCGCCCCUGCCCGCCCGUACCAGUCUCCAGCAGCAGAAGCAGCGGCAGAUCGAGUCCCUGCGCGGCGCCCACGCCUCCAUUGCAGAAAUUCAGAAAGAUGUGGAGUAUCGACUGCCAUUCACUGUAAACAACCUGACAAUUAAUAUUAACAUCUUGCUUCCACCACAGUUUCCUCAGGAAAAACCAGUCAUCAGUGUUUUCCCACCUGUGAGACAUCAUUUAAUGGACAAGCAGGGAGUAUAUGUGACUGGUCCAUUAAUAAGUAAUUUUACAAUGCAUUCAGAUCUUGGAAAAAUUAUUCAAAGUUUACUGGAUGAGUUUUGGAAGAAUCCUCCAGUUCUGGCUCCUAGCUCAACAUCAUUUCCAUACCUUUUCAACAAACCAGCUGGAAUGCCUCCUUAUGCUCCUCAGGGGUUUCCAUUUCUUCCUCCAUACCCACCUCAAGAAACAAAUAGAACAAUGGCGGCCGUGCCCGUUGCUGAAUCAGUUUCUUCAAGCUACACUACAGACAAGCCUGCUGCUCCCUCUUACAGCUUGAUUGCUGAUCUGCCACUGCCUGUUCCAACUGCAGAAGCAGUGCUUCAGGUUCGCCAGAAUGGAUUUACUUACAAGAUGCCUGACGUUCCUGAUACGUUUCCAGAACUCUCAGAACUAAGUAUAUCGCAGCUGACCAAUAUGAAUGAGCAAGAGGAAGUGUUACUGGAACAGUUUGUGACUCUACCACAACUGAAGCAAGUCAUUACUGAUAGAGAUGAGUUAGUGAAAAGCAUUGAAGAGCUGGCAAAAAAAAACUUGUUGCUGGAGCCUAGUCUCGAGGCAAAAAGACAGACAGUGUUGGAUAAAUAUGAGCAGCUCACACAGAUGAAAGCAGCCUUUGAAAAAAAGAUGCAAAGACAGCAUGAACUUAGUGAGAGUUGCAGUCCAAGUGCUCUGCAAGCCAGACUUAAAGUAGCUGCUCAUGAAGCUGAAGAAGAAUCUGACAUUAUUGCAGAAGACUUCUUGGAAGGCAAAACAGAAAUAGAUGACUUUCUUAGUAGUUUCAUGGAAAAGAGAACGCUUUGCCACUGUAGACGAGCCAAAGAAGAAAAACUUCAACAGGCAAUAGCAAUGCACAGCCAAUUUCAUGCUCCGCUAUAGAAAUUGUUACCUGGAAAUGGAUUUGUUGCAAUGCUGAGUGUUCUACCAAUGCUUUCUGUGGAAAUCAAACUUCCUGCAAACUACACCUGCCAAGAGAGCGAGAGAAAAACCCAAUAAAGCACACUUUUUAAUAACUAUUAUUUGCAAAUAAGCAUUUCAUCUUAUGUGGUUGUAUUUAUAGAAGAGAUUGUAUACAGAGUUGGGAUGGGUUUUGUACAAAUUAGAAUGUCUCUUUAUAUUCUCAUUGUACUCAAGAAUCCUUCUAUUGCAAUCUUUGCACUAAUUUCUUGUAUUUAUUGUUGAUAGUUCUUAUUAUAUUUAAGUUCCUGCUGCUAUAUGCCAUUCUUCAGAGAUUAAAUAUCUAAACAUGUAAUUUUGACUAGCUUUUUACAUUUUUAUAAAAACAUAAUUCAUAUCUUUUUGUAUUUUGAACUUUAAACAUAGAUUUGGCUUGAUCUGUGAAGAGUUUGAGAUAAAUGGGGAUAGGGCUUUGGAAACAGAAGUGCAUCAUUUGAGAUUGUCAGUGGAUUCAUAAGCUGUCUUUUCUUGAAGCCAAAAUCUUUAAGAACAAGUUUUUUACUUUUAAGUAAUAAUACAAAACUGAGUAUAGCCUGUAUGGUGUUUUGGAUAAGUAGAUUUGGAUUAAGCAAAGGAUAUGUUGGGAAAAAUUUUAUUGGAAUCGAAAUAACGUAAAUGAUUUCUGCAUAGAUGUGGUAUGUUGCUCAGUAGCACCAAUGCACUUGAUUUCAGGACUGGCUUGGUACCUACCACUGUAAUUAAACACAAUUUUAAUCUAACAAUUUUAUUUUCAUAAUUGUUUUUACUUAAAGGAAAAAUAAUCAGGUCACCUCCCGGUUUCUGUUUUAUGCAAUAUGAAUACAUUCAUCAUGUGAGGAGCUCAAAAGCACUUUACAAAGACUAGUUCUGAAGUUCUUUGUGAAGUAGCAGUUAUUUUUUCCUAAUUUUAAGGAGCAAAGAGACUGAUUUGGCUGGAGUUGCAUAGUGUAUUAUGUUAAGGCCAGUGAUAGAAUUUGGAAGCGAGACUUAAUUCUGCCCUUUAAUCACUAAAUCUUGCCUCUGGUGAGCUGAUCUUUUUUAGGAUGGGGGUAUAUAUCUGGUUAAAUGGAUGGGACCACAUGCAGUAUUCUCUAGGAGAAAAAUACAACCCCUAAAUACAUGCAUUUAUGCUCUCUUGCUCUUGCAAAAAGACACAUUCUUUUUCUUAAUCUUACCAGUCUAUUAGGUUUUCAUGGAGAAAGUCAAGUUCCAGAAGAACAGAAGGUAUUGUACAGUUCUUAGAGAUAAAUAAGAUAAAGCACUGAUUAAGUAAUCUACCAGGAAUCCUGCUUCUUUCUUGUCAGGAGGCAGUCUGGAAAUAAACCUCUUAGCCAAGACACUGCCUCUGCGUUACCUAGAUAGGGUCACAGGACAUCACAGAUUCAAGUCUCAGACUAAAGCACCUCAGUCCAAGUGAGUUCUCUUCUGUAUCACUAAUCUUCAGUCAGUCCUAAACUCAAUGCUUUUUGAGCAAAAUGCAAUAAGGUAUUUCUUCUGAGUUGGAGAAAAGUAAGUAAAUUUGGAGUUAAGAAAAUCACGUAAGUGCAAGAAGUCUGUUCCACAGGCUAGUGAAUCUUCAAAUGGGGCUUUAGUCUCAGCCCUGUCAUACUUUACAGUUCUGUGGUUGUCUGUCUUAACUACUGCCUUUCAGGGUGAGUAAACUAUUCACUGGUAUUUGGGAUUUUUCUUUGUAAAGCUGGUCCAGAUUCUGAGAUUACAUAUACCAAGCAAAUAGAACUAUGGUCCAAAUCAAAGAUGAUAGUUAGGUGCCUGAAAAAAUAAACAGGUUGUAAGUGCCAUGGUUAAGCAAUAAUUUUAGAGUAUUUUCUUGAAAAAAAAAAAAAAAAAAACAUUUCUACUGACAGUGCAUAAUACUGCUUCUGUAUUGAUAUAGCACUUCUGCUAAUGUGCUAACUAAAGCCCUAACGAAAAAUGAGAUCGCAUAGUUUUCCCAGUGGUUCUGAACUUGGGUGUCUGAGUAGUGGGAUUUCUGCAGCCCUGGAGGAGAGUUAGAUUUAAGUCAUCAGUGUUACCUUCUUGGCAAACUCAGUCUAUUUUUGUGCUGAGUGUACAGGUUUUUUUGGAUCUUUCUCUGAGUAUCUAGUUAACGAGCUUAAAGCCUAGACAUACAAUCCUGUACAGGGCUGCUUUUUUUUGUUGUUUCUUCCUUGUAAGCUGAGAAAGGAACAACUGACCAAACACCCAGUGUUCUUCCCAAGCUGGGCUAGUAUCUUCUUUCUUUGUUUUUGUAACGGCAUGGAAUGACAGACUUCUGCCCUCAUCUGCCUCCUCCUGUCAAAUGUUAGGUAGUGAAUUAUGGUGCUGUACUGUGACUGAACUCUCUAGCCGGGUCACCUUCAGGGGAUUUGCUUCCCAAGCUAGUAUAAGUUCUCAACACUUCAGCUUUUCCCCUUAAGUUAUUUUUUGUGAGCAAAUUUACAAAUUCAGGACUUCUCCAUGGAAUCCUUCUGAUGAUAAUGGAGGAGAAUCUAGAAGGAAACAUCGCUGCUCAAUGCAAGUUCUUAGUACAGUGUUUCUUGUUCAGUUUAAGGUCUUUUCUCCCUUUUUAGUCUCUCUCACAUUUUUGUUCCUAUUCUUAGGAUUUGUUUCCCCUAUUUAUUAGCCCCUUCUGCACUUGCAAAUCCAUACUCUAGAAAAGAAGCACAGAAGACACUGUAUUCAACUGUACUGGGUUAGCUACAGGUAGCUGGCCAGCCUGUUUCUGGCCCUUAAAGGACAAGCCAACCUGCUGCUGGUUUGGGUUUUUUUCUUUUCUUUUAGUCCUACACUGGUUGUGUCAAUGCAAACAUUUUUCUUAUAGGUAAUCUUCAUACUUUCAGCAGAAGACUUAGUAGAACACUGGUAACUCUGUCCAAGUUAGGUUCUUUGGCUUGUAGCACGCUGGUAGUUCACUGUUAAGCACACCCCUUUCCUUAUUUUGCUGAAAUGUGGCAUGUAGGUGUAAAUCCAGCUUUAAAAAAUUACCUGUGAAGAGUAAGAGAACGGCAGAUACUGUUAGAUGCAUACGCUAAAAUCUUUUGAAAUGUGUCAAGUGAGCUCUUAAGCAAUCUGGAAUAAUAGGCUACACAGAGUGACUUGUUUCUGGAGAUCCUUGUACUGUGUCAUGCUCAUGGUGAGAAGUGGAGAAGUGAAAUGAAUGAGCAAGAUGCAAGAGUAAGGAGGUGGCUUGACUCUGGUGUUGCAGUAGUUUGGGGGUGUGUGAGGGUGCAUUCCAUAUUGAAACAGCUAAUUGAGUCUGGGUUUUGCCUGAUUUUAACAUCUGAUCUUACUGCUAAAUGUUUUCUAUAGCUGAAUUUCGGCCUUUUGGUUCUCCCUGAGUCAAGUGACUAUUUAAAUACAGUACUGAAUUCUCCAUAUAGCAACUGUAACUCAUGUUAUGGCAGACCAGAGAAAUUAUUUUAAAAUGUAAAUUUGAAAUUAAGUAGGUUUCAUUUUAGGGUGAUCUUGUAUACAGCUGGUAUUAAUGGUACAUUCUGCUGGGGCUUAAAGUUUUUCUGUAUUUCACGGUGCAUUUGACAUGCUAAUCUUUUUGAAAGACAGGAUUGUCAGAUACAUACAGCUGUGCUAGCCACCACUACAAGCAAGGGACUCUAAGUUAGUUCUAAGCAGUAUCUAAUGAUUACUAUAGUUCUGUUGUUUGCUCUGUACGUGUUCCCGCAGCUUUGCCACUUCAGACCUUGACCAAAUGUGGACGUUACAAAUCUUUUAGUCUUGUUUCAGUCCAAGUUCUUACUACCCUCUUCAAACACUAGAAUAAAUCUUUCUAAAAGAGCAGUUCAAGAGACCUUCAGGUAAAACUGAAUUAAAACUCUGGCAACAAAGUGAAGUCAGUUAUCACAGCCUUAUUCUGUACAUUAUUCUGAACAGUAAAUGCUGUACUGUGUUAAACUUACAAAUAAAGGUUUUGGGAUUUUUUUAAU